UACGAAGGGUGCAAACGUUGCUCGGAAUUAUUGGGCGUAAAGCGUGCGUAGGCGGUUUCUUAAGUCUGCUGUGAAAGCCCUGGGCUCAACCUGGGAAUGGCGGUGGAUACUGAGAAGCUGGAGUACGGUAGAGGAAGGUGGAAUUCCCGGUGUAGCGGUGAAAUGCGUAGAGAUCGGGAGGAACAUCUGUGGCGAAGGCGGCCAUCUGGACCAGCACUGACACUGAGGCACGAAAGCGUGGGGAGCAAACAGG
rnacentral:rRNA from 1 species